UACGUAGGGGGCAAGCGUUGUCCGGAAUCAUUGGGCGUAAAGCGCGUGUAGGCGGUCCGGUAAGUCCACUGUGAAAGUCGGGGGCUCAACCCUCGAAUGCCGGUGGAUACUGUCGGGCUAGAGUGCGGAAGAGGCGAGUGGAAUUCCUGGUGUAGCGGUGAAAUGCGCAGAUAUCAGGAGGAACACCAAUUGCGAAGGCAGCUCGCUGGGACGUUACUGACGCUGAGACGCGAAAGCGUGGGGAGCAAACAGG
rnacentral:rRNA from 1 species